AGUGGUGUGCGGGUGGCUUACCGUCUUUACGAUGGAGGAAGCUCUUCCCAUGCAGAGCGCAUAUGGCCUAGGGUCUUGCCACGGAGCAGAAACGAGACUGCUAUGCCCUACAAGCGAUGAGAAUACGAGCUGGGCAGUGCAGGUGAAACGGCCGUGGAGAUGCGCAGUGAGCAUGCAAGGCAAAACGCCGCUUAGUCAAAUGUCACCUAAAACAGAAGGAGGGCUACGGCACACCACU
rnacentral:RNase_P_RNA from 1 species